rnacentral:rRNA from 1 species
CCACGGGAGGCUGCAGUCAGGAAUAUUCCGCAAUGCACGAAAGUGUGACGGAGCGACGCCGCGUGUAGGAAGCAGCCCUUCGGGGUGUAAACUACUUUUAUAUGGGAAGAAUUUUUGACGGUACCAUAUGAAUAAGAGGUUGCAAACUCUGUGCCAGCAGCAGCGGUAAUACAGAGACCUCAAGCGUUAUCCGGAUUCAUUGGGCGUAAAGCGUCCGCAGGUGGUUUUCUAAGUUGGGAGUCAAAUCUUUGGGCUUAACCUAAAGACUGCUUUCAAUACUGGGAAACUUGAGACUGGGAGAGGCACACGGAACUGUUGGUGUAGUAGUAAAAUGCGUUGAUAUCAACAGGAACACCAAAGGCGAAAGCAGUGUGCUGGAACAGUUCUGACACUCAUGGACGAAAGCGUGGGGAGCGAAUGGGAUUAGAUACCCUCGUAGUC